rnacentral:snRNA from 1 species
GUGUUGUCUGAGACAUCACAUAUACUAAAAUUGGUUCAAGAUUAGCAUGGUCCCUUGUGCAAAGAUGACACGCAAAAUCGUGAAGCGAAUCGAUAAUAA